rnacentral:lncRNA from 9 species
CCAGUUUGAUGGCACUGCUUGCUUGAUACCCCAAAUGAGAUGAGUGUUUGGCCUCCUGUGAAUGUCAGCACACCUGUGGCCUGUCCAAGUGAGGAGGGCCGAUGGCCCCCCCACAGGGAAGCCAGGGCUUCCUGCAGGCCCAGUGCCUGACUGUGACAUGAGCUUAGGACUCUGAUCAGGUGAGCGAAGCUUCUGACAACCCGGCACUUGGGGACUACAGAGGAUGAGGCUUCUGGGGGCAGCUGUGGUGGCUCAGCUCACUGAGUUGUUUCACAUAGAUGCCCACCGAGAGCCAGGGCUCAGGAGAAACGUCCAGGUGGGGGCUCUCUUUGCCACCAGCUGCCCUUGCCAGCCGAAGGCCUUCCCAAGGAAGAUAGCUUCACCAUGUCACCAGUGCCUGGAUAUUGCAGAGAGAUUCCUAUGAAAUGAAAUCCGCAAACUGAAAACAAAUAACUAGAUUCCAUGUAAAAUUAGAGGCAUGUGCCAAGAGGUCAUGAGAAAAGCUUCCUGGUGGAAAGCCCUUGGCCAGAGGUGGAAAUGGAAGUUGAUCCCAUUUAUAACCUGCAGAUGCUGUGGGUUACACUUUGUAGCCACCAAGAAGGUGGGACUUUUUGUCCCUACCCAGCAGUUCACUCUCUGUUCUAGCACUUUCUUAACUCUGGAGGCUCCUUUCUGAAUGCUCUGCUUUUCUUUGACUUCCCCUCAGUCCCCUCUGCUAAGGGAUUUUCUGGGUGAUACCCACAUCUCUCUCCUUCACUGAUUACAGCUUCCAGCCUAAGCUGCAGUCAUUUUUCUCUCUACCUGGUGGGCUAUCGUCAAGAUUUAUUUUAACUUCAAUUGCAGAAUUUGAGACAAUGCCAGGGAUCACUAAGAUCGAGGCCUAUUUAGUGUGCUUAUGAUGAAGACUCUUUUCAGGGGAGAUGUUUCAACCACUUAAGGAGUCAUUUCUUAGGGCCUGUCCUUGCAUAGCCACAGCCGAUAAGCCCCUAAUCCCGCAGCACACACGGCACGGGGAGAGGAAGUAAGAGUUGAAGUUCAAGAGGCAGCUCGUGGGCCCUGCAUUUGAACCACAGGUGCCCAGGACCUGGCUCUGGGGAUUUAUGCAGAUCACUUACAGGCAGGCGGAUGAUUUCAGUGUAAUUACUGUGUAAUUAAUUCACAAGGUUUUAAAAUGAAGAAAAUACAUACUAACAAUAACGUAGUUUGAACUUCCCGCCAACCCCAGUGAGGUCCAGUAUUGCAUGGGCAGGGCAGUGCCAGGUGCCCAGGGUGCUGCCCCGAGGGAUUCGUCGUGAGCUCGGAGUAGGGAACUACAGUCGGGGUUCUGGAAUACACUGCCUGCCUUCCACCCUGGCUCCCCUGCCUAUUGGCCGUGGGGCCCUGGGAAAGGCACUUACCCUCUCGGGGCCUUCUUCCUUACCUGUAAAACACAGAGAAUAACAGUAACCGUAGACAGGAUUGUGGCGGGGACCAAAAGAAAUAAUGCUUGUAAGGUGCUUGUCAGGGUGCCUGACACGUGUAGAACUCAACUGCUGUUGUUAGCAACUCAGUUGCUAUCAUCAUUCAAAGCGUAACCCAGGGCCCUCUGCCCCCGCAGCAGCACCCGCCUUGCCACAGCCUUCAGAGGCCGUCCCCUUGGGGUAUCCUGAGAUCCGCUCUGUGUCUGGGAACUCUUAUGUUUGAGGGUUUUUUUUCUUUUUCAGCUUUUUCUUUUGGGGGGCCAUGUCAUGCAGUGGCUUGGUGUGGGAUCUCAGUUCCCAGACCAGGGAUUGAACCUGGGCUGCCAGGGAAUUUCCUUUUCAACUGUUGUCAUCAUUGCCCCCCACAAAGAGAGGCAGCCAAAGGCUUUUCCCACUGGACUCAUCGGAAAAGGCAUAUUUUGUCUAAAUACUCCGUGGUGGAGCCACCGGGAGGACCACCGUCACCCUGGCCGAGGCUCUGUUUGCAGACGCGCCCCCACGGAGGGAGCUGCUUGGCUGGUGGUUGCUGGUGAAUGUUCUCUGCUGCUCAGCUGGUUAUAGUCAGCACUUUUUUUUUUUUUUUUUUUUUUUUGGUCUAUUUGUCUCUUGAAGGCCGUACCUGCAGCAUAUGGAGGUUCCCAGGCGAGGGGUCGAAUCGGAGCUAGAGCCACAGCACAACAACACAGGAUCUGAGCCACGUCAGCGACCUACACCACAGCUCAUGGCAACACCAGAUCCUUAACCCACUGAGCAAGGGCAGGGAUCCAACCCGAAACCUCAUGGUUCCUAGUUGGGUUCGUUAAUCACUGAGCCGCAAUGGGAACUCCCUGAAUUAAGCUUUUUAAGAAAAAAAUUAUCUAGACCUUUUCAAGAACUAGCCACCAAAGUAAAAGGGGAGAUGAGCAUGCCACACCAAGCCUGGGGCCAGCGCUGGCUGUGCUGUGUGCUUUAUAUGCAUUGGUUUGCCUGCCUUUUACAUCGGCCCUGGGAGGUAGAGUAUUUAUUAGCCUUACUUUUCAGGGAAGAAAACUAAGAUUGAGCAAAGUUAAGGAACUUGCCCAUAUUUAGAAAGUAAUGCAGCCAGAUUUCAUCUCGAGGUCUGCCUCGCUGCAGAGCUUACAUUUUCCUUCCUCUUUGACAGCCGCCAUUACUGUGCCAGUAAAAACACUUCAUUAUAUUCUCCUUAUGAAAUAUUAAAACAGGAGUUCCUGUUAUGGGGCUCAGUGGGUUAAGAAUCGGACAUGGUGUCCAUAAGGAUGCAAGUUUGAUCCCUGGCCUUGAUCGGUGAGUUAAGGAUCCAGUGUUGCCUCAAGCUUGGGCAUAGGUCGCAGAUGUGGCUUGGAUCCGGCAUUGCUGUGGCUGUGGCAUAGGCUGGCAGCUGCAGCUCCAAUUCAGCUCCUCGUCCAGGAACUUCCAUUUGCCACAGGUGCAGCC